rnacentral:rRNA from 1 species
UCGAACGAACUCUGGUAUUGAUUGGUGCUUGCAUCAUGAUUUACAUUUGAGUGAGUGGCGAACUGGUGAGUAACACGUGGGAAACCUGCCCAGAAGCGGGGGAUAACACCUGGAAACAGAUGCUAAUACCGCAUAACAACUUGGACCGCAUGGUCCAAGUUUGAAAGAUGGCUUCGGCUAUCACUUUUGGAUGGUCCCGCGGCGUAUUAGCUAGAUGGUGGGGUAACGGCUCACCAUGGCAAUGAUACGUAGCCGACCUGAGAGGGUAAUCGGCCACAUUGGGACUGAGACACGGCCCAAACUCCUACGGGAG